GACGAACGCUGGCGGCGUGCUUAACACAUGCAAGUCGAACGGAAAGGCCCUGCUUUUGUGGGGUUCUCGAUUGGCGAACAGGUGAGAAUCACGUGAGUAACCUCCCCCUGACUUUGGGAUAACUUCACGAAACUGGGGCUAUUAUCCGAUAGGAUCUCCUGCUGCGUGGUGGGGGUUGGAAAGUUUCGGCGGUUGUGGAUGGACUCGCGGCUUAUCAGCUUGUUGGUGGGGUAGUUGCUUACCAAGGCUUUGACGGGUAGCCUGCCUGAGAGGUGAGACGGCGACCAUGGGCCUGAGGUACGGACCAGACUCCAACGGUAGGCAGCAGGGGGAAAUAUUGCACAAUGGGCGGAAGUCUGAUGUAGCAACGCUGGGUGCGGGAUGACGGCCUUCGAGGUGUAAACCGAUGUCGCAGGUGACGAAGCGUGAGUGACGGUAAUGGGUAAAGAAGCAACGGCUAACUACGUG
rnacentral:rRNA from 1 species